AUGGAGGCCAAGGCGAACAAUCAUCGUCUGCAGUUGAGAUGCAGAAGAGUUUGCGCUGGUAUGUUCUUGCUCGCAUGCUCUCACAUGCUUUCUUAUCCGCAAGUGUACCCGAUCCUGAUGAUCCGUCUCAUACCUUAUUGCAAGAUUGGCCGGUGUGGAACAGACUUUGCAACUUUGGCCAGCACAUUGGAGUCCCUUCACUUGACAUCUCUUAUGGAUUAUGCAACCCAUCAGAAGCAGCCACUUGCCGUUUACGAACGGGCGUUAAAUCUUACCAUGUCAGAGGGAUGCAAACAGCGAAGGGAUCAUAAAAGAAUCUCCAGAAAGGUCAAGGCUGCACUAAGCAGAUAUGAGAUGCAUAAUUCGGGGCACGCCUGUUAUCAGCUUCAUGUGAUCUGUGGUGUGAUAGUAUCUCUAUCUGUUCGUGACUGGAAGCGAAAAACUCGUUUUGAUGAUGACUACUACCAUCACAUACAUGCCAACUUCCUGGUGAUGCGGGAUGUUGGCUCUGUAGGUUCAGUUCCAGUACUCUUCUUUGCUGAACUUAGCAAUGACGAUGAUGGCGACAAGGACAGCCAGCUUUUAUGUUGCCCUGUGGAUUUUCCAACACCAGGGGCUGAGUCAGUGCGCCGCCUUUUCUGCAAGCUAGAAGGGAUCAGGAUUGCGCAUGAUGGAGACCACGGUCUGGAGGGAUCCACGACCGCGAUAAUGAAAACGGCACCCAAGUCGCCCACCCGUGCUCACUCCCAGCCUUUCCUCUGGACGCGACGCAAGGAUCGGUGGAGCACCACCGAGCUUAGCACCAACCACGACCUCCAGUUUUCUUUGGAGACAACGAAUGGACGCUUCAGUGCUAGCCGGCCGGUGGCCACGCAUUGGCAGCCACUGCUUGGAUACAUAACUCCAGCCAGCUAUGGUGAGCAGACUUUGAUCUUGGAGGUGGUCAUCAAGUUUGAGAUGGCAAGUGUAGAUAGUAAAACUCCAGCUGUUAUUUUGCUAGAUGGGUCGGUAUCAUCCCAACAUUGA
rnacentral:rRNA from 1 species